rnacentral:rRNA from 1 species
UGGGGAAUAUUGGACAAUGGGCGCAAGCCUGAUCCAGCCAUGCCGCGUGAGUGACGAAGGCCUUAGGGUUGUAAAGCUCUUUUGGCGGGGAAGAUAAUGACGGUACCCGCAGAAUAAGCUCCGGCUAACUUCGUGCCAGCAGCCGCGGUAAUACGAAGGGAGCUAGCGUUGUUCGGAAUCACUGGGCGUAAAGCGCACGUAGGCGGACUUUCAAGUCAGGGGUGAAAUCCCGGGGCUCAACCUCGGAACUGCCUUUGAUACUGUUGGUCUCGAGUCCGGAAGAGGUCAGUGGAAUUCCUAGUGUAGAGGUGAAAUUCGUAGAUAUUAGGAAGAACACCGGUGGCGAAGGCGGCUCACUGGUCCGGUACUGACGCUGAGGUGCGAAAGCGUGGGGAGCAAACA